rnacentral:tRNA from 2 species
CAGAGGAUAGUUUAGAUUAAGAUAUUAGUUUUGGAUACUAAAGACGAAAGCAAUUUCUCCCCUGA